UACACCUAUAAGGUAACCCUAAUUUACAAUUAAUUACAAUAUAUUUCCAUAUAAUUUCCUUGAUUUGGUGUAAUCUUUUCCUUCAUCAAUUCCUUGAUUUCGUGUAUCUUUGACACUGUCAUUCAACACUACAUGGCAAGUAAUUACGGUUACCAACCAAGUGAGUUACCGCCGGAUUCGCGACCCGAAAUUCAUGAAAGCGGAUCUCGGCCACUCGGAUGAGACUGGAAUCAUACCGUUCAGACAUUUGCUGGAGUUCCGGCGCAGUCAAUCGAUGUUCUCGAGCAUAAUCAGCGCCUUGCGUUGGAGGAUCUUCUUUAGGAAGGCGAUUUAAUCGACGUUUUAGGAACUAACAUCGAUAAAGGUUUUCGAGGUACGUUUUCGCAAUUUUCUUUGAAUUGCUAUUAUUAGCUGCAAUCGCACUGCUAUGGCUUGUUUAUCUACGUUACAUGUCGAACCACAACAUAUCAAAUUGAUCUACUCCUAACUAGAUCAAUUGGAAGGUCAUCCGCAACAGUAAUUCAACAUACUAUAUAGCUAUGAUUGCAUGUUAAUCCCCUACUUGUGAAUAUUGCAGUUUUUGGUUGAUGAACUUCUGCAGAUAAAUAGAGCAAAAAUAUACUCUUUGGGCUCUGUUAUUCUCUACUGCCUUUGCUGCAAUGUGUGAUGAAAGAUGAGACUGAUGUACAAAAGGUUUCACUAAUUCAGAUGAUGUGUUAUGUGAUUAAGUUAAAUUUUUUGAAAACUCAUCAACUUAUUUUAUUUAGACACGAAAUCUAGCAUAUGAAGUUACAUGCAAACAUAAUUGAAGAUUCAACUUACUUUCUUUUUCUUCGUGAUUGCUACUGGAGUCUAUCCACCAGAUAUUCUUCCAUGCAAAACAUUGAACAUCCCACUCAAUUGAGUGUAUCAAUCAUUGCAUUUUCAAGAGCAAUAAGUUCCAUGUCUGAAUUGUGGAACACUCAGUUGAGCAGGAUGUUUUCCAAAUGAAGAGACUCGUAAUCCCACAUCAUGUCUCUGAGAUGGACUAUUGAUAUUUGUUUUCAGCCUUAAGUAUUUGACUGAGAGGAUAUCAAAAAGGAUAUGUCAACUUGUCUUCCACAUUCACUGUUACUAUGGUUUGAUCUGCAUCGUAUUGUUUGAGGAUAUCCAUGGUUUAUGCCACUUAUAUUUUCUGCACUUGCUCUGAGCUUCAAGCAUAGAUUCCAUAAGCAUUAUAAGCUCUUUCUAAGAUGGAAACCGAAGCGUCACUGGUUGAAUGGCUAAGAGAAUGAAGAGUUCUGUGUGUCUCAACUCUCUUCUAUGCAUAAGCAUUAAGAUGACAGCAAGAUAGAUUAGAAGUUUACUAGUAUAUCGGAGUUGCUAGAGUCAGGGAAAUCAAUGCUGAAGAAACUGAGCUAUGAAUUUGAUUAGAACAUGAUUUUGUGAGUAAAUGGAAAGUAUUAUGGUCCGUAAUUACAUGGAAAUCUUUUUCAUGGAAUGCUUUGCUGGUACAUCUAUAGCCCUCUUGAUUAGAGUCAAUGUUUUAUUGGCUGUUUUUUUAGGGAUUUUAGAUAUUUCGUGAUACUUUCCUGUCUACUUAAGUAGGUUAUAGUAAUUGGAUUGAUGUGGAUUCCUGGAAGUAUAUAAUGCUGACAAAACUAAAUGUGAUGGUUAUAUAUGAGAUAAGGGCUAGCUGUAGUGAUUUUAAUUUGUUGCUGACAAAAUACUUCCUUGAUGUCUUUUUACCAGAACACCAGUAUUUUUUUUCCUCGUUGAAUUGGGAAUUGAUGUGAUGUUGGUGUAUGUGAUGAAUUUUAGUUGAUGGUCAAAUCCCUCUAUUGUUUAACCAUCACUGUCUGCUUCAAAUUUGAAACUUGGACAUAUAAAUACCAGAUAAUAUGCAACUAAAAAAAUGGUGUUAUAGUGAAAAAUGAUAAAUUUUCUGCUGGUUUAGCUUAAAAUUACAAAAGUAUCGAUUGUACAGAAUCUGUUCAUUUUGAUUCUUGUUUGAUUCUUCAACUUUUUUCAUAUGGUUUGGACAUUUCUAAUGAUUCUGCAGUUGGAAAUCACAAUGUCAACCCCAAUUGUUUUUGAGGUAAAUUUUAAAUUUAACCUUGACAACUUCUUUGCAGAUCCAUUACAGAAUCAUGUGUUGUGUUACACAGGCGUUGCAGUGUCUGGUCCAAGAAUAUCUUUCAGCAUCAAUCUGCAUAAGUACAACCGAGCUGCGUCUUUGAAAAAUAUUUGAAAUUCUAGGAUUCCUGUAGGGUCUUUUUACAUGGAUGUCUUUUAGUGACAAAAAUAACAAAAAAGAAAGACUGGAAAGUGAUCUGGAGGACUAGGGAAUUGGAUUGAUCCAAGAUAUUUCGUCGGCCUGCAACGUAAAUUAUAGAUCUGGAGGAUCUGUAAUUAGCGUACAAAUGAAGGAUCUAGAGGAUUAGCGUACAAAUGCAGUAGGAUCUGGAGGAG